rnacentral:rRNA from 1 species
GGGCAGUGGGGAUUUUGGACAUGGGGGCAACCCUGAUCCAGCAAUGCCGCGUGAGUGAAGAAGGCCUUCGGGUUGUAAAGCUCUUUUGUCAGGGAAGAAACGGUGAGAGCUAAUAUCUCUUGCUAAUGACGGUACCUGAAGAAUAAGCACCGGCUAACUACGUGCCAGCAGCCGCGGUAAU